UAAUAGAUACCCAGGUAGUCCACGCCCUAAACGAUGCGAACUGGAUGUUGGGUACAUUACGGUACUCAGUGUCGAAGCUAACGCGUUAAGUUCGCCGCCUGGGGAGUACGGUCGCAAGACUGAAACUCAAAGGAAUUGACGGGGGCCCGCACAAGCGGUGGAGUAUGUGGUUUAAUUCGAUGCAACGCGAAGAACCUUACCUGGCCUUGACAUCUGUCGAAUCCUGCAGAGAUGCGGGAGUGCCGCAAGGAACGACAAGACAGGUGCUGCAUGGCUGUCGUCAGCUCGUGUCGUGAGAUGUUGGGUUAAGUCCCGCAACGAGCGCAACCCUUGUCCUUAGUUGCCAGCACGUAAUGGUGGGAACUCUAAGGAGACUGCCGGUGACAAACCGGAGGAAGGUGGGGAUGACGUCAAGUCCUCAUGGCCCUUACGGCCAGGGCUACACACGUACUACAAUGGUCGGUACAGAGGGUUGCGAAGCCGCGAGGUGGAGCCAAUCCCAGAAAGCCGAUCCCAGUCCGGA
rnacentral:rRNA from 1 species